GAUGAACGCUAGCUACAGGCUUAACACAUGCAAGUCGAGGGGCAGCAUGAUUGAAGCUUGCUUCAAUCGAUGGCGACCGGCGCACGGGUGAGUAACACGUAUCCAACCUGCCGAUAACUCGGGGAUAGCCUUUCGAAAGAAAGAUUAAUACCCGAUAGUAUAGUAUUUCCGCAUGGUUUCACUAUUAAAGAACUUCGGUUAUCGAUGGGGAUGCGUUCCAUUAGAUAGUUGGCGGGGUAACGGCCCACCAAGUCAACGAUGGAUAGGGGUUCUGAGAGGAAGGUCCCCCAAAUUGGAACUGAGACACGGUCCAAACUCCUACGGGAGGCAGCAGUGAGGAAUAUUGGUCAAUGGACGAGAGUCUGAACCAGCCAAGUAGCGUGAAGGAUGACUGCCCUAUGGGUUGUAAACUUCUUUUAUACGGGAAUAAAGUGGAGUAUGCAUACUCCUUUGUAUGUACCGUAUGAAUAAGGAUCGGCUAACUCCGUG
rnacentral:rRNA from 1 species